GCAUAACCUAAUUUUUCUUUUUUUUCCUUAUCUGAAUUUCAGAGUGGUGGUGGGCCGCUUAAGUAAGGAUUUAGUCUGAAAUCUGUAAAGUUUUUCAUAUAUUUAAAUUCGAUUUGGUUUUGAUCAAAAGAAAAAAAAUGAGUCUAUAUUUAAAUAAUUAAAGGUCUGAUCUGGCCCCAACAUGAUUACAGGGUUAUUCCUGACUUUUUGAGUUUUUCUUACAACUAAAUAACUAUCAAUAUCUUUUCACAAAAUCUAAUUUAACUGACAUAAUAGAUUUAAAUGAAUGAAAAGUACAAAAACUGCUCUCUGUCUUUCUCCCUAGGCGAUCGUUCAUCCUUUCUCCAGCAAAAACUCUUUCCUUGCCAUUGAUUCCGGCUGGCGCUGGUUUCUCCGGCGUCGGUCGGCCCUCUCUUUUAUUCUAGUUUUUCAUUUUCCUACUCUAUAUAUUUUUAAAAUAUAAAAAUGUUUUAUCAUUUUCUAUUUUUUUUCACCCUUAUGGUUAUGGCUGCUAUUCUCUACGCUGGUGAUAGAGAUCUAUAAAUGGAGAAUUCGAGAUAUGGUGUUUUCACAACCAUUUUCACAUUCUUCAGUGGUCAUUCAAUCCGCUGAUGUCAAUCAAUUCUUCUUAAUGGAUCUGCUCUGGAAGAAACACCCAUGGAAACCACCAUGGAGAAAGAGACAAUUUGGGGAUGAAGAUGUAGUGAUAGUAAGCAAUUAUCAAUGGAUGAAUAAGGCGAAUCUGAUUUUGAUAUCACGAAGGAGACAAGUUCCAGAUGCAAGUCUAACAAUAUUCAGUCUCAGUUUAUUAAUCAAGGUUAUGCCAAGUGCAUUUUGGAGUUUCAUCUAUAAGAUGAUAGCCAUUUACAAGUGUAUGAGAGGGGGACUUAACAUAUAUUAUCUGUUAGCCCGUAAGGCUUCCGAUUAGAAAGCAGGGUUAAUCUACUCUUUCAUCGAAAUUGUGUUCAAUUUCCUGUAUUUGUGAUAAUUGGUUGUAUUUGAUUUGCUUCUGUUAUUUGUAAACUCUGUUCUAAUA